rnacentral:rRNA from 1 species
GACGGAGGGUGCAAGCGUUAUUCGGAUUCAUUGGGCGUAAAGAGCGUGUAGGCGGCCGGGCAAGUCAGAGGUGAAAGCCCAGGGCUCAACCCUGGAAGUGCCUUUGAAACUGCUUGGCUUGAGUUCGGGAGAGGGAAGUGGAAUUCCUGGUGUAGAGGUGAAAUUCGUAGAUAUCAGGAGGAACACCGGUGGCGAAGGCGACUUCCUGGACCGAAACUGACGCUGAGACGCGAAAGCGUGGGGAGCAAACAGG